rnacentral:rRNA from 1 species
AGUGAACGCUGGCGGUAGGCCUAACACAUGCAAGUCGAACGGCAGCACAGUAAGAGCUUGCUCUUACGGGUGGCGAGUGGCGGACGGGUGAGGAAUACAUCGGAAUCUACUUUUUCGUGGGGGAUAACGUCGGGAAACUUACGCUAAUACCGCAUACGACCUACGGGUGAAAGCAGGGGAUCUUCGGACCUUGCGCGAUUGAAUGAGCCGAUGUCGGAUUAGCUAGUUGGCGGGGUAAAGGCCCACCAAGGCGACGAUCCGUAGCUGGUCUGAGAGGAUGAUCAGCCACACUGGAACUGAGACACGGUCCAGACUCCUACGGGAGGCAGCAGUGGGGAAUAUUGGACAAUGGGCGCAAGCCUGAUCCAGCCAUACCGCGUGAGUGAAGAAGGCCUUCGGGUUGUAAAGCCCUUUUGUUGGGAAAGAAAAGCAGCAGGUUAAUACCCCGCUGUUCUGACGGUACCCAAAGAAUAAGCACCGGCUAACUUCGUG